UACGGGGGGGGGCAAGCGUUGUUCGGAAUUACUGGGCGUAAAGGGCUCGUAGGCGGCCAACUAAGUCGGACGUGAAAUCCCCAGGCUCAACCUGGGAACUGCAUUUGUGACUGCAAGGCUGGAGUACGGCAGAGGGGGAUGGAAUUCCGCGUGUAGCAGUGAAAUGCGUAGAUAUGCGGAGGAACACCGAUGGCGAAGGCAAUCCCCUGGGCCUGUACUGACGCUCAUGCACGAAAGCGUGGGGAGCAACAGG
rnacentral:rRNA from 1 species